rnacentral:rRNA from 1 species
GACGAACGCUGGCGGCGUGCCUAAUACAUGCAAGUCGAGCGGACAGAUGGGAGCUUGCUCCCUGAUGUUAGCGGCGGACGGGUGAGUAACACGUGGGUAACCUGCCUGUAAGACUGGGAUAACUCCGGGAAACCGGGGCUAAUACCGGAUGGUUGUUUGAACCGCAUGGUUCAAACAUAAAAGGUGGCUUCGGCUACCACUUACAGAUGGACCCGCGGCGCAUUAGCUAGUUGGUGAGGUAACGGCUCACCAAGGCAACGAUGCGUAGCCGACCUGAGAGGGUGAUCGGCCACACUGGGACUGAGACACGGCCCAGACUCCUACGGGAGGCAGCAGUAGGGAAUCUUCCGCAAUGGACGAAAGUCUGACGGAGCAACGCCGCGUGAGUGAUGAAGGUUUUCGGAUCGUAAAGCUCUGUUGUUAGGGAAGAACAAGUACCGUUCGAAUAGGGCGGUACCUUGACGGUACCUAACCAGAAAGCCACGGCUAACUACGUGCCAGCAGCCGCGGUAAUACGUAGGUGGCAAGCGUUGUCCGGAAUUAUUGGGCGUAAAGGGCUCGCAGGCGGUUUCUUAAGUCUGAUGUGAAAGCCCCCGGCUCAACCGGGGAGGGUCAUUGGAAACUGGGGAACUUGAGUGCAGAAGAGGAGAGUGGAAUUCCACGUGUAGCGGUGAAAUGCGUAGAGAUGUGGAGGAACACCAGUGGCGAAGGCGACUCUCUGGUCUGUAACUGACGCUGAGGAGCGAAAGCGUGGGGAGCGAACAGGAUUAUAUACCCUGGUAGUCCACGCCGUAAACGAUGAGUGCUAAGUGUUAGGGGGUUUCCGCCCCUUAGUGCUGCAGCUAACGCAUUAAGCACUCCGCCUGGGGAGUACGGUCGCAAGACUGAAACUCAAAGGAAUUGACGGGGGCCCGCACAACCGGUGGAGCAUGUGUUUUAUUUCAAAGCAACGCCAAGAACCUUACCAGGGCUUGACAUCCUCUGACAAUCCUAAGAGAUAGGACGUCCCCUUCCGGGGCAGAGUGACAGGUGGUGCAUGGUUGUCGUCAGCUCGUGUCGUGAGAUGUUGGGUUAAGUCCCGCAACGAGCGCAACCCUUGAUCUUAGUUGCCAGCAUUCAGUUGGGCACUCUAAGGUGACUGCCGGUGACAAACCGGAGGAAGGUGGGGAUGACGUCAAAUCAUCAUGCCCCUUAUGACCUGGGCUACACACGUGCUACAAUGGACAGAACAAAGGGCAGCGAAACCGCGAGGUUAAACCAAUCCCACAAAUCUGUUCUCAGUUCGGAUCGCAGUCUGCAACUCGACUGCGUGAAGCUGGAAUCGCUAGUAAUCGCGGAUCAGCAUGCCGCGGUGAAUACGUUCCCGGGCCUUGUACACACCGCCCGUCACACCACGAGAGUUUGUAACACCCGAAGUCGGUGAGGUAACCUUUUAGGAGCCAGCCGCCGAAGGUGGGACAGAUGAUUGGGG